rnacentral:rRNA from 1 species
CACGUAGGGCGCAAGCGUUGUCCGGAAUUAUUGGGCGUAAAGAGCUCGUAGGCGGUCUGUUACGUCUGCUGUGAAAACCCUGGGCUUAACCCUGGGCUGCAGUGGAUACGGGCAGACUAGAGGCAGGUAGGGGAGAAUGGAAUUCCCGGUGUAGCGGUGAAAUGCGCAGAUAUCGGGAGGAACACCGGUGGCGAAGGCGGUUCUCUGGGCCUGACCUGACGCUGAGGAGCGAAAGCGUGGGGAGCGAACAGGAUUGAG